GGGGGCGUGGCGAAAUUGGCAUACGCAGCAGACUUAAAAUCUGCCUCCGAGAGGAUUGCGGGUUCGAGCCCCGCCGCCCCUACCA
rnacentral:tRNA from 1 species